rnacentral:rRNA from 1 species
GACGAACGCUGGCGGCGUGCUUAACACAUGCAAGUCGAACGGUAAGGCCCUUCGGGGUACACGAGUGGCGAACGGGUGAGUAACACGUGGGUGAUCUGCCCUGCACUUCGGGAUAAGCCUGGGAAACUGGGUCUAAUACCGGAUAGGACCACUGCCUGCAUGGGUGGUGGGGGAAAGCUUUUGCGGUGUGGGAUGGGCCCGCGGCCUAUCAGCUUGUUGGUGGGGGGAUGGCCUACCAAGGCGACGACGGGUAGCCGGCCUGAGAGGGUGACCGGCCACACUGGGACUGAGAUACGGCCCAGACUCCUACGGGAGGCAGCAGUGGGGAUUAUUGCACAAUGGGCGCAAGCCUGAUGCAGCGACGCCGCGUGAGGGAUGACGGCCUUCGGGUUGUAAACCUCUUUCAGCACCGACGAAACGCAAGUGACGGUAGGUGCAGAAGAAGGACCGGCCAACUACGUGCCAGCCGCCGCCGUAA